rnacentral:lncRNA from 1 species
AGGGCAACCGAGGCUGGACUGAAUCAGACUGCUUCUGCUCAACUGCCUCUGGGCUCAGGAGAAGCUUUCUGUUUGCUGCUUGCUGUUCUCCAUCACCAUGAAUCCUCACUGACAAGAGCAGUUGAUAUUCCCGGUGAACUAGGGGCUAUUAUUCCCAGAAUACAUGAAGAACCAAAGGCUGAGAAAGAAUCUCUGAAAUUACUGUCAUUUGAGAAAACAAUUUCAUCAAAAGAAAGUAUUGUGCACAGCCUACCAAAUCCAAAACUAUCUGUGAUCUCCACAAUUAAGUCCAAGCUUUUUAAGGCGCUGAAGAAAAGAAUUUUUCCCCCUUAAAGAGAGGGCUAUAAUACAAAACAAUGAAGAAAAAAAAACCCAGAGGAUGAACAGUUAUAUUCAAUCAAGACGUAUCUCUUACCAUCUCUGUAAAGACUGCAUCUUCCAAUAGGCAGAUGCAAUAAUAGCUUUUUUUUUUUACCCUCCUUCAAUUUUCUACUUAUCAGCUUUGUAGAUGAAAAGCUUCCUUACUAAACAAAAUUUUGAAUAAAAGCCUUAACUUAAUAUUAACCUGUUUGCUG